UAGGGAAUCUUCCGCAAUGGGCGAAAGCUUGACGGAGCAACGCCGCGUGAGUGAUGAAGGUCUUCGGAUCGUAAAACUCUGUUAUUAGGGAAGAACAAAUGUGUAAGUAACUAUGCACGUCUUGACGGUACUUAAUCAGAAAGCCACGGCUAACUACGUGCCAGCAGCCGCGGUAAUACGUAGGUGGCAAGCGUUAUCCGGAAUUAUUGGGCGUAAAGCGCGCGUAGGCGGGUUAUUAAGUCUAAUGUGAAAGCCCACGGCUCAACCGUAGAGGAUCAUUGGAAGCUGGAAAACUUGAGUACCGACGAGGAAAGUGGAAUUCCAUGUGUAGAGGUGAAAUGCGCAGUAAUAUGGAGAAACACCAGUGGCGAAGGCGACUUUCUGGUCUGUAACUGACGCUGAUGUGCGAAAGCGUGGGGAUCAAACAGG
rnacentral:rRNA from 1 species